rnacentral:rRNA from 1 species
GACGAACGCUGGCGGCGUGCUUAACACAUGCAAGUCGAACGGAAAGGCCCUGCUUUUGUGGGGUGCUCGAGUGGCGAACGGGUGAGUAACACGUGAGUAACCUGCCCUUGACUUUGGGAUAACUUCAGGAAACUGGGGCUAAUACCGGAUAGGAGCUCCUGCUGCAUGGUGGGGGUUGGAAAGUUUCGGCGGUUGGGGAUGGACUCGCGGCUUAUCAGCUUGUUGGCGGGGUAGUGGCUUACCAAGGCUUUGACGGGUAGCCGGCCUGGGAGGGUGACCGGCCACAUUGGGACUGAGAUACGGCCCAGACUCCUACGGGAGGCAGCAGUGGGGAAUAUUGCACAAUGGGCGGAAGCCUGAUGCAGCAACGCCGCGUGCGGGAUGACGGCCUUCGGGUUGUAAACCGCUUUCGCCUGUGACGAAGCGUGAGUGACGGUAAUGGGUAAAGAAGCACCGGCUAACUACGUG